GGGGAGGAGCCGGCGCUGAGGUACGCGGAGUGGAGAUCGGUUCUGCGGAGAGCAGCGGAGCUGAGCUGCUGGGCGGGCCUCGCUAGGCCGGCGGAGCGGAGACGUCGGCCGAACGGCGGCGAACAUGCGCUUUUGACACACUGGAGACUUUCUUGAUCAUGGAUGGUGAAGACACACCAGAUUUUUCUAGUUUAAAAGAGGAAACUGCUUAUUGGAAGGAACUUUCCUUCAAGUAUAAACAAAGCUUCCAGGAAGCUCGGGAUGAGCUAGUUGAAUUCCAGGAAGGAAGCAGAGAAUUAGAAGCAGAGUUGGAGGCACAGUUAGUACAGGCUGAACAAAGAAAUAGAGACUUGCAAGCUGAUAACCAAAGACUGAAAUAUGAAGUGGAGUCAUUAAAGGAGAAGCUAGAACAUCAGUAUGCACAGAGCUACAAGCAGGUCUCAGUAUUAGAAGACGAUUUAAGUCAGACUCGGGCCAUUAAGGAGCAGUUGCAUAAGUAUGUGAGAGAGCUGGAGCAAGCCAAUGAUGACCUGGAGCGAGCAAAAAGGGCAACAAUAGUUUCACUGGAAGACUUUGAACAAAGGCUAAAUCAGGCCAUUGAACGAAAUGCAUUUUUAGAAAGUGAACUUGAUGAAAAGGAAUCUUUGUUGGUCUCUGUGCAGAGGUUAAAGGAUGAAGCAAGAGACUUAAGACAAGAACUAGCAGUUCGGGAAAGACAACAGGAAGUAACCAGGAAGUCAGCUCCUAGUUCUCCAACUCUAGACUGUGAAAAGAUGGAUUCUGCUGUCCAAGCGUCACUUUCUUUGCCAGCCACUCCUGUUGGCAAAGGAAUGGAAAAUAGUUUUCCUUCACCAAAAGCUAUACCAAACGGUUUUGGUACCAGUCCACUAACUCCUUCUGCUAGGAUAUCAGCACUAAACAUUGUGGGGGAUCUCUUACGGAAAGUAGGGGCUUUAGAAUUGAAAUUAGCAGCUUGCAGAAAUUUUGCAAAGGACCAAGCAUCACGAAAAUCCUAUAUUUCAGGGAAUGUUAACUGUGGGGUGAUGAAUGGCAAUGGCACAAAGUUCUCUCGAUCGGGGCAUACGUCUUUCUUUGAUAAAGGGGCAGUAAACGGCUUUGACCCAGCCCCUCCUCCUCCUGGACUGGGCUCCUCGCGCCCAUCAUCGGCCCCGGGUAUGCUGCCUCUCAGUGUGUGAGCGCCUGCCUGCAGGAGUGGUUUAAUGAGAACAUGUGGUCCGAACUUCCGGAAAAUACCGAGUCGCUUUGUCAGGUUGGAGACGAUCUGGCGCUGAUGGUCCAGGUCCACCAUCAGGUCGUCCAGCUCCUGCUGCAGGCGGUUCUUGGUCUUCUCCAGCUUGUCAUAGGCCAAGGCCUUUUCUUCCAGGCGCUGGCUCAAUGCCUCCACAUCCUUAAGAAGCUUCUUUUUGGCUUCUUCCAAGCUUUCAAUUGUUCCCAAGUCAUCAUCUACUUUCUUCUUGGUAUCAAUCAACUAGGUUUUAUGUAAAGAAAGAAAAGAUCAAUAUUGAAGAACUCAACUGGAUUUUGCACUUGAGGAAUAAAGAAAAAAACUUUUCAAUGUUU